rnacentral:tRNA from 1 species
GGCCCCAUCGUAUAGUGGCCUAGUACGUCGCCCUCUCACGGCGGUAACACGGGUUCGAAUCCCGUUGGGGUCACCG